GAUCCUGGCUCAGGAUGAACGCUAGCUACAGGCUUAACACAUGCAAGUCGAGGGGCAGCAUGGUCUUAGCUUGCUAAGGUCUGAUGGCGACUGGCGCACGGGUGAGUAACACGUAUCCAACCUGCCGUCUACUCUUGGCCAGCCUUCUGAAAGGAAGAUUAAUCCAGGAUGGGAUCAUGAGUUCACAUGUCCGCAUGAUUAAAGGUAUUUUCCGGUAGACGAUGGGG
rnacentral:rRNA from 1 species